rnacentral:rRNA from 1 species
GGGGAAUAUUGCGCAAUGGGGGCAACCCUGACGCAGCAACGCCGCGUGCAGGAAGAAGGUCUUCGGAUUGUAAACUGUUGUCGCAAGGGAAGAAGACAGUGACGGUACCUUGUGAGAAAGUCACGGCUAACUACGUGCCAGCAGCCGCGGUAAUACGUAGGUGACAAGCGUUGUCCGGAUUUACUGGGUGUAAAGGGCGCGUAGGCGGACUGUCAAGUCAGUCGUGAAAUACCGGGGCUUAACCCCGGGGCUGCGAUUGAAACUGACAGCCUUGAGUAUCGGAGAGGAAAGCGGAAUUCCUAGUGUAGCGGUGAAAUGCGUAGAUAUUAGGAGGAACACCAGUGGCGAAGGCGGCUUUCUGGGCGACAACUGACGCUGAGGCGCGAAAGUGUGGGGAGCAAACAGGAUUAGAUACCCUGGUAGUCCACACCGUAAACGAUGGAUACUAGGUGUAGGAGGUAUCGACCCCUUCUGUGCCGCAGUUAACACAAUAAGUAUCCCACCUGGGGAGUACGACCGCAAGGUUGAAACUCAAAGGAAUUGACGGGGGCCCGCACAAGCAGUGGAGUAUGUGGUUUAAUUCGAAGCAACGCGAAGAACCUUACCUGGGCUUGACAUCCCUGGAAUCGAGUAGAGAUACUUGAGUGCCUUCGGGAAUCAGGUGACAGGUGGUGCAUGGUUGUCGUCAGCUCGUGUCGUGAGAUGUUGGGUUAAGUCCCGCAACGAGCGCAACCCCUAUUGUCAGUUGCCAUCAUUAAGUUGGGCACUCUGGCGAGACUGCCGGUGACAAAUCGGAGGAAGGUGGGGACGACGUCAAAUCAUCAUGCCCCUUAUGCCCAGGGCUACACACGUACUACAAUGGCCGAUAACAAAGUGCAGCGAAACCGUGAGGUGGAGCGAAUCACAAAACUCGGUCUCAGUUCAGAUUGCAGGCUGCAACUCGCCUGCAUGAAGUUGGAAUUGCUAGUAAUCGCGGAUCAGAAUGCCGCGGUGAAUACGUUCCCG